rnacentral:tRNA from 1 species
GCAGUGCGGCAUAAUGGGUAAGGAGUCGGUCUUGUAACCUGAAGGUCGCAGGUUCGAUUCCUGGGUAAGACACUGCC